rnacentral:rRNA from 1 species
CAUAGGUUAAUGAGGCGAACCGGGGGAACUGAAACAUCUAAGUACCCCGAGGAAAAGAAAUCAACCGAGAUUCCCCCAGUAGCGGCGAGCGAACGGGGAGGAGCCCAGAGCCUGAAUCAGUGUGUGUGUUAGUGGAAGCGUCUGGAAAGGCGCGCGAUACAGGGUGACAGCCCCGUACACAAAAAUGCACAUGCUGUGAGCUCGAUGAGUAGGGCGGGACACGUGGUAUCCUGUCUGAAUAUGGGGGGACCAUCCUCCAAGGCUAAAUACUCCUGACUGACCGAUAGUGAACCAGUACCGUGAGGGAAAGGCGAAAAGAACCCCGGCGAGGGGAGUGAAAAAGAACCUGAAACCGUGUACGUACAAGCAGUGGGAGCCUCUUAAUGGGGUGACUGCGUACCUUUUGUAUAAUGGGUCAGCGACUUAUAUUCUGUAGCAAGGUUAACCGAAUAGGGGAGCCGAAGGGAAACCGAGUCUUAACUGGGCGUUAAGUUGCAGGGUAUAGACCCGAAACCCGGUGAUCUAGCCAUGGGCAGGUUGAAGGUUGGGUAACACUAACUGGAGGACCGAACCGACUAAUGUUGAAAAAUUAGCGGAUGACUUGUGGCUGGGGGUGAAAGGCCAAUCAAACCGGGAGAUAGCUGGUUCUCCCCGAAAGCUAUUUAGGUAGCGCCUCGUGAAUUCAUCUCCGGGGGUAGAGCACUGUUUCGGCAAGGGGGUCAUCCCGACUUACCAACCCGAUGCAAACUGCGAAUACCGGAGAAUGUUAUCACGGGAGACACACGGCGGGUGCUAACGUCCGUCGUGAAGAGGGAAACAACCCAGACCGCCAGCUAAGGUCCCAAAGUCAUGGUUAAGUGGGAAACGAUGUGGGAAGGCCCAGACAGCCAGGAUGUUGGCUUAGAAGCAGCCAUCAUUUAAAGAAAGCGUAAUAGCUCACUGGUCGAGUCGGCCUGCGCGGAAGAUGUAACGGGGCUAAACCAUGCACCGAAGCUGCGGCAGCGACACUAUGUGUUGUUGGGUAGGGGAGCGUUCUGUAAGCCUGUGAAGGUGGCCUGUGAGGGUUGCUGGAGGUAUCAGAAGUGCGAAUGCUGACAUAAGUAACGAUAAAGCGGGUGAAAAGCCCGCUCGCCGGAAGACCAAGGGUUCCUGUCCAACGUUAAUCGGGGCAGGGUGAGUCGACCCCUAAGGCGAGGCCGAAAGGCGUAGUCGAUGGGAAACAGGUUAAUAUUCCUGUACUUGGUGUUACUGCGAAGGGGGGACGGAGAAGGCUAUGUUGGCCGGGCGACGGUUGUCCCGGUUUAAGCGUGUAGGCUGGUUUUCCAGGCAAAUCCGGAAAACCAAGGCUGAGGCGUGAUGACGAGGCACUACGGUGCUGAAGUGACAAAUGCCCUGCUUCCAGGAAAAGCCUCUAAGCAUCAGGUAACAUCAAAUCGUACCCCAAACCGACACAGGUGGUCAGGUAGAGAAUACCAAGGCGCUUGAGAGAACUCGGGUGAAGGAACUAGGCAAAAUGGUGCCGUAACUUCGGGAGAAGGCACGCUGAUAUGUAGGUGAAGCGACUUGCUCGUGGAGCUGAAAUCAGUCGAAGAUACCAGCUGGCUGCAACUGUUUAUUAAAAACACAGCACUGUGCA